GCAGUCUCUCGGUGACAGAUGACGUAAUGGAACCCUUUGAUGGCAACUACAGCUCCCAUAACACCCAGCGGCGUAUUUCCGGCUCAUCAUUUCCGUAAAUAAACGGUCGCCAGCCGGCCGUUUCGGGCUGACGAAAAUUGAACAUCUAGAGCAACUGUCCAAUUGAGUACAGAGAGUGUGCUGUUCACAUUAGACCUGUGGGAUGAAGGAUCCUUGGCUCUAUUUCAGAGAUAAGUAAUGGACUAAUUCCUAGCGUCUUGGCCUGUUGCUUAUUUCUCUAUCAAAAUUCUAAUGUAGAUUCUGUUCUCACUUGGUGGUUUGUGAGAUUUUGCUGUACACAAAUGGAUUGACAUCUUCCUGUCAUGAUACCAAUCGUUAAAUGUAAUAUUUUUCAUGUAGAAGUAACUUCGUAUGGUUAACGACCAAUUACCCUUUAACAUCACCAAGCUACAUAAACAGUAAUGUAUAUCAACAGGGAACAUUUAAUUUUAUAAUGCAAAACUUCACACCAAACCUUAGAAGGGAAUUUCUGAGUUGAGAGUUUAAUUAGCCAAAUGCACGGUUAUCAGUAGCUGCAAAAGAUGCGGCACAUUACCAUAGCAGUUGGCAUAGAGCUUUACAGAGCCAGUGAUCAAGCUUCAGUUCCCUCUGCUGUCUGUAAGGGGUUUGUACAUUCUCCCCGUGACCACCUGGGUUUCCUCCGGGUGCUCCGGUUUUCUCCUCCAUUCCAAAGACAUACAGGUUAGUGUCAGUAAGUUGUUAACAUGCAAUCUUGGCACUGGAAGUAUGGUGACACUUAUAGGUUGCACUCAGCACAUUUGAUGCAAACAAUACAUUUCACUUUGUUCUUUGAUGUACGCAUGACAAAUAAUUCUAAUUUUUAAAAAAUUUAAAGAUACAGUACAGAAUAAGUUUUUCAAGCCACUCCCUAGCAACCCACUGAUUUAAUCCUAGCCUAAUCAUGACAAUUUUCAAUGACCAAUUAACCCACUAAAAGCAUAUCUGUGAACUAUGGGAGGAAAAAUCCACACAUUUCAUGGGGUUGAUGUACAACUUCUUACAGAGGACAUCAGGAUUGAACUCCAAUGCCCUGAUUUGUAAUAGCGUUCUACUCACCACUACACCAUCCUGGCACCCAAUCUUUAAAAGAAAUCUGGAUGAGCUCGAUGAUAGUGUUAGAAGGACACAAGAAUUGUAGGGCUGAAGGAGAUUAUGGCAAUAGUAACCUUACACAGAUGGGCAGUCACUUAGCUGACUAUCUUUUCACUGAAGAAAUGAUGCCUUCCUACUGAAUAUUUGCUGCAUUUUCUCUCUGUCUUUCAGAUUUCCACAAUCCGUGGUACUUUGCAUGUAUACAUGAGAAGAUUCUUGAUAAGUGUACUUCCAUCUCAAUGAGAAAAGAAGCAGUGCUGGAUCCAGGGGAAUGAAGUCCGGUUCAAAGUCAAAAAGCUGUGUGGAGUAUAGUUGAAGCACUUCAAACAUGCCAAAGGAGCCAGAGAAACCACAAGAAGGUGAUGGGGAAGAAAAACCCAUGAGUACACAUCAUAGCAGGCAGGAUGAUUCAGAAGCUGAAAAUGUACAUCAUCAAAUAAGCCAAGACACUGAAAUCUCCCACAGAGAAGGCACUGUUCGUUCUGUUUCUCCUAGCCUGGCAUCUGUAGAGGAGCUAAUUGAGACAGAAAAGGGCAUUUAUAACAUGGCUCUAGCCCAUGAGAUAGUAGUUAAUGAAAGCUUUGAAAUCAAAAAGCGAGACCUACCAGAGAACAGUUUUCAGAAGACAAUUGAAGGAAUUGUGAAGAAAGCUUUUUGGGAUUGUUUAGAAGCUCAGCUAAAUGAGGAUCCACCAGUUUACGACCAUGCAAUCAAGCUUCUAGGUGAGAUUAAAGAGACUCUGCUCUCAUUCUUGCUGCCUGGUCAUACCAGGCUGAGGAACCAAAUCAAUGAAGUUCUGGAUCUGGACCUCAUAAAACAGGAGGCUGAGAACGGAGCAUUGAACAUCCCAAAGCUGGCUGAAUUCAUCAUCGGGAUGAUGGGAACACUCUGCGCCCCUAUCAGGGAUGAUGACAUCAAGCUCCUCAGAGAUGUCUCUGACGUGGUGCCACUAUUCAGGGAGAUUUUUGCUGUGCUGGACUUAAUGAAGCUCGACAUGGUGAAUGUUACCAUUAGCCGCAGUCGACCACACUUAAUGAAGCAGUCUGUUGAUUACGAGCGAAAAUGUUUCCAGGAAUUCCUUGAUAAGCAACGUGGUUCACUGGAGAUCACAACGGAGUGGCUGCAAGAGGCCGCGAGUGAAGUUCUGGGUUCUGAUACUUCUGUGCUUGAUGGAGCAACAGCUGCCGCAACCGAAGUUUCGGCUUUGGGCCCUUCCUUGGUAUUAAAUCAUGCCUAUGUUAAAUUACUGAAAUGGGAUCACGGCAGCAGACUCUUCCCGGAGACUGUACUGAUGGACGAGUCCCGGUUCAUGGAGAUGCAGAGGGAGUUGAAUCAGCUGACCAUUAUUGCAGCUGCCCUGCUAGUUAUAUACAACAUGACUGGUGCUGCCAUUUCAGGACUCUCGGGAUUUCUGGACAGACUGAAGGGGAUCAUUAAAGUCUUACUGACAGGCAUGCAUACGCAUUCCUUCCACCUUGCUGAGGCCAUGACCAGUAUGAGUGAGCAGAUUUGUGUGGAAGUGAACCACUGCUUAACUGAACAUGGUUUCUCACUACUACCUACUGAAAAAGAGAUGGUAUUGAAAGGUCAAAUCCAGGCUGUAGCUAGUCCGGAUAACUCUGUUCGCAAAUUAAUAGAUUCACGAAUUCAGACUUUUCUGAAGAUGCAUCUCAUGUCAAGUAAUCCAAAAUCCGUUUCAGUCCCUGGAGGGCUUAGCCCCAUUAGAACAGAACUGGAAAAGAUAACAGUUAAAUUUCUUCACCUGGUGAACUAUAACAAGAUGGUCUUCAGUCCUUAUUAUGACACUAUCCUGGCUAAAGUGCUCCAGAGAAACGAGACACAGCUUCCUGGAAUGGGUGAGAAGGAGCAAUGAUCAUGAAAUCUAAAGCAUUGCACACUGAGCAACAAGAUCUUCCCAUUUGUGUGUCUCUCCACAGCUGAUUUCAUUCUCUUUAUGGUUUGGGAAGGGAAAGUUGUGAAGAAAUAGCUGAUUUUGGGGUAAUCUGAGGCUUGGGGUGAGGGGGAGUAUCCAGUUGAGCUUUGCUGUUUGUGUAAAAUAGGGAUGGUGUUUUUAAGUCGAGAUCCAAUUCUCUUCUGAGAUACUCAUUUUAAAUAUUUCUUCUCCAAAGCUUUUCUCCAUUCCCCUCCUCCAUCCCAAAAACUCAGAUUUAAAACACCUUGAAACUUUCACUAAUUAGAGGCCCAGUGUGACUAAUUGGUAAAUAAUUAAUAGAAAGAGCAGCCCUUGGCUUUGGUUAGUUUAGACAGAUGCCAUGGUAUGGUGAUGCAUACCAGACGGUGCAAGAGGCUCACUGCACAUCUCUGGGCAGUGUUUGUGUCUUUGGUGAAUACUGGAUCUAGCUGGUGUGGUCUGAUAGUAGGAACCCCCAUCUCUGAUGAGCUCUUGCAUAAUAAAUGAAGCACCUCUUUUUGAUGCAUCUAUUUAAUUGAACUGUAAUCAACAGAGAACCUCCCUGUGGCAACAAGAAUGUCUUUGAUAAAACAACUCUUAUUUCUAGAGUGUAACUACAAGCCUUCAUUCCACCCUGUAUUCAGGUCAAGAGUUAUCACUCUUUCAUUAACUUAUCUAGAUUUCCAACCUCAUUAUCCUUGGCACAAAUCCAAUCCAGAAAACCUUCAAAUAUGAUAUUGUGAAAAUAGAAAGCCCACUUACACUGCAGUUAUGCCUGAGUUGGAAGCAUAAAAUGGAUAUUCAUGUACCAUUCAACCUAGUUUGUUGCUUAAAUCCAUAGGGAAUAUUUUAAUCCUUCUCUUUUGUGGUAGUUCAAGAUAUACUAUAUAAAAAAAAGGUACCAGAUGUCUUUUCUCUUAUAUUUAUAUAUAUAUGAAUGUCUAACAAGCCGACACAAAAAUGGAUUAUUUUUGGGAGCACUGUAGAAACGGUUUAAAAUGAGGAUAUUGUUUUGAACAGCACACACAAAAUGCUGGUGGAACACAGCAGGCCAGGCAGCACCUAUAAGCACAGUCGACAGUGCUUCUCCUUAUAGAUGCUGCCGGGCCUGCUGUGUUCCACCAGCAUUUUGUGUGUGUUGUUUGAAUUUCCAGCAUCUGCAGAUUUCCUCGUAUAUUGUUUCGAUUUGCUUUUAUGCACAUUACUAAUUACUGAAUAGUCAUCUUUAUUUAAAUGAAAGCUUUUGAAACAUAGUGGCUCUAAACUCAGUAUUUUCCUUACUGCUGGUUGUGAUCUAGUAUCAUUGCUUGCUUGCUGAGCAUUCAUUAUGCUUGCCUUUUGUGUACUGUUACAGAGACUGGCAAUGGAAACAGCAUAUAUUGUACUGACUACAAGUUGUACUUUACCAGUGUAAAUACUAGUAACUUAUUUUGUAAAACUUGACAAUGGUCACUGAUUUUUUUUUCCAGCUGCAUGUUUCCAGAAUUUUGCAAUGUACAGUAGUAAUAAUGUAUAGUAUUUAAAGAAAAAAUGUAUUCUGGUGUAAUAAAGGUACAUUGAGUGGCAGUAGUAGUUUUAUAAAUAAACAACAGUAGAUAUGAAUGUGUUUAUACAGGUGAUGCACUGUGGCUCUGACCACAAGUGCUUGUGUUGAUGACUGUACAUUUAGGAAUGCCUUGGUCAAGGUGGGUGGGGUUGAAGUCAACCUCCUGUUAUUAGAGAGCACAUUAGAAUUACUUUGAAAGAGACAUCUUUUAAAAAAAGGGUUUAAUGUAGGGUGGUGUAUCACCAUAAAAGACCAGGCAGGGCUCUACUAUGGUUCAGACAUGUCCUGCUAUUCACUGAUAGUUAACUACAUCCUCACCCAUUUCUAAUUCAUCUCUAUCUUCUCUAAAGCCCCAACAUCUAUUGCCCUCUGUCCAGCUCUCAGCAGAGACUGUAUCACCCUUUGUAAAAUGCCUGAUGCUAACAGCCAAAAAUUCAGCUCAAAAAUUUAGCUCAUGACACCUAAUGGAAGCCCAGCAUUGCACAGGUCUGUCUGUCAUUAGGCCAAAUAAACUUGGUUUUAGAUGUAAAACAUUGACCUGCCUGGCCGUGAACUAUCCGUGACGGAAGUUGGAAGGACUGCGUCAAUCUGCAGCACUUUCAUCCGAUCCAUCUCUGAGCAAUGAUAGUGUUGCUUGUGGCAAUGAAUAACCCAGAGGCAAGAGAAUGGAAAACCUUUUGAACUGACUUUAUACUAACUACUUCAGUUCAACUUCAGAUCAUGACUAUUUCAGCCAAUAUAAAGUUUUGACUAUAAGGUGAAGCUAAUCCUUAGACUGUGGUAACUGAUUUUCAUGUAUUACAUUGAGAAGUGAGAGUAUUAGUGCAUGAAGAAGUGGUGAGUUGGAAACCCAUUCUUGAUUUUAGAGGUUAAACACUUGCAUGCCUGUUGAUCAAUGACUCUGAUUUCCAGCAAAAUAUUUCAAGCACAGUGUACGUUUUCUACACUAAAUCAAGGAUGAAUUAUAAUCUACAAAUGGACAUUAGAUGUUGACAGUGGAAAAGUGCUUUUCAAAAUGCUGGGUUAUCAAAGAGGAUUUUUUUUUCUUUGGCACAUUUAAGAUCUCAAGCCUUCUUUAAAAUAAUUAGUUCAGAACUAAAACCUAAUUGUGAGUUACCAAUUAAUUCCAUUACCCAUUUUCCAGCAGCCUUCUGUUUUUUAUAGUAUAUAUUAAUUACGUUUUUAACUGUUCCUAUUGAAUCUGUUUUCACAAACUAACAAUUGUUUUUGGAAAAAAAAUCUACAAUGAAUUGCAGAAACACAGGUUGUAGGCUUCUGACAAAUGACAGGGUGCUGAGUCAUCUUUCCAUUGUGCCUGGUCUGGCAAAGCAGUAAACCUGUGCAGCUCCUGACAUUCACUUCUACAACCAGUCCUAAUUCUAAGUGAAUGGAACACAACCUGUAAGCUGAGGAAUCAAAUGGUUCCUUGUUUCUGGCAGAAGAAAUCAAUGAUCAGGUCACUUUGGGAUCCCAGGAACACCGUACAACACAGAUGGAAAUGUUUUCUCACCCUCAGAGUCAAAACUGGACACCAAUGAUAUGUACCUUUAUACAGGCUGCGGCCAUCAGCAAAACCAACUCAUCAGCACACCUCUGAGGUAAUUAGGAAUAAGUGAUUAUUUAACACAUUUAAUUACUAAAAACUGCUGUGGGUUCACUCUAGGUGAAAAAAAUAAUACUUGCCAUGUCUAGCUUUUUUUAAAUCCCCAGUUUUCAGUACCAGGUUUAAUAUCACAAAUUAUGGCUGCAGUGCAAUACAUUAAAAAAAACUAUAAAUUACUAUAAUAUAAGAAAGCUCAUCUGUGUCACUACUUCUUUAGAACACUGAAGAAGUUUGGCAUGUUCCCUCUGACCUGCACCAAUUUUUAAUUGAUGUAUCACAGAAAGAAUCCUAUCACAACCUAGAAUGGCAAUUGCUCUGCCUACAACCACAAGGAACUGCAGAAACUUGUGGACACAUCUCGGCACAUCAUGGAGCCUUCCCUCCAUGGAUUUCUUGCUGCCUUGGUAAAACAAUCAAAAUACUCAAUCUCCCCUUCAAUCCUGAACCUUGUCCUCAGCCCCUACCAUUGGGCGGAAGAUACAAAAGUCGAAAAGCACAGACUACCAGGCUUAAGGACAGUGUAAGAGCAAUGUAUCUAUUUUCUGAAUUUUGUGUUACGCUUUCAUUAUGGGUAAUUUAUCAUGUGGGUUGAGCGUGGUAUAAGUGAAGAGUAUAUUUUUGUCACGCUUUGUCUUAGGUUGGUUUAGGUUAGAGCAGGGGAUAGGUGGGGAGUAUGGUUUUUUUUGUUGACUGCUAACACCUAAAUGUUAAUUGAUUUAAUACGCUAAGAUUGUUUAAAAACACUUAAGUAUGUUUAGAUGGCUUAUUUUGUUCCAUCAUUAGUUUUAGUUUCAUUAGUGUAUUGUUACAAGGUUGUUCAUCUUUGCUGGUUUCUUUAUAAAGGACUGAGCAUACUUUCUUCGACUUAGAACUUUGUUACUCUUGGAGCACAUCAUAGUGUCAAACCCCAUGCUUAGUCUCUGAGCAGUUUUGGUUUGUUUUUGUAACCGCUACAGACAGCUUCUGUCUUUCUGUUUUAAGACACUUGAACAAUAAAACGAACUGUUCACCUCA